AACGAACGCUGGCGGCAUGCCUAACACAUGCAAGUCGAACGAGACCUUCGGGUCUAGUGGCGCACGGGUGCGUAACGCGUGGGAACCUGCCCUCAGGUUCGGAAUAACUCCCCGAAAGGGGUGCUAAUACCGGAUAAUGUCUUCGGACCAAAGAUUUAUCGCCUUUGGAUGGGCCCGCGUUGGAUUAGCUAGUUGGUAGGGUAAAAGCCUACCAAGGCGACGAUCCAUAGCUGGUCUGAAAGGAUGAUCAGCCACACUGGGACUGAGACACGGCCCAGACUCCUACGGGAGGCAGCAGUGGGGAGUAUUGGACAAUGGGCGAAAGCCUGAUCCAGCAAUGCCGCGUGAGUGAUGAAGGCCUUAGGGUUGUAAAGCUCUUUUACCCGGGAUGAUAAUGACAGUACCGGGAGAAUAAGCGCCGGCUAACUCCGUG
rnacentral:rRNA from 1 species